rnacentral:rRNA from 1 species
GCCACACUGGGACUGAGAUACGGCCCAGACUCCUACGGGAGGCAGCAGUCGAGAGGCUUCGUCAAUGGGGGAAACCCUGAACGAGCGACGCCGCGUGGGCGAUGAAGGCCUUCGGGUUGUAAAGCCCUGUCGUGCGGGAAGAACGAUUCAAUGGCAAACAGUCAUGGGAUCUCGACGGUACCGCAAAAGGAAGCUCCGGCUAACUCCGUGCCAGCAGCCGCGGUAAUACGGGGGGAGCGAACGUUGUUCGGAAUUACUGGGCGUAAAGGGCGCGUAGGCGGCUUCAUAAGUGAGAUGUGAAAGCUCCUGGCUCAACCAGGGAAAUGCGUCUCAUACUGUGAGGCUUGAGUGCAGGAGAGGAUGGGGGAAUUCCCGGUGUAGCGGUGAAAUGCAUUGAUAUCGGGAGCAACACCAGUGGCGAAGGCGCCCAUCUGGCCUGCUACUGACGCUGAGGCGCGAAAGCUGGGGGAGCAAACAGGAUUAGAUACCCUGGUAGUCCCAGCUGUAAACGGUGGGCACUAGGUGUGGGGGGCAUCGACCCCUCCCGUGCCGCAGCUAACGCAUUAAGUGCCCCGCCUGGGGAGUACGACCGCAAGGUUGAAACUCAAAUGAAUUGACGGGGGCCCGCACAAGCGGUGGAGCAUGUGGUUUAAUUCGAUGCAACGCGAAGAACCUUACCUAGGCUUGACAUGCACUGGACGGGUGUGGAAAUACACCUUCCUUUCGGGGCCGGUGCACAGGUGCUGCAUGGCUGUCGUCAGCUCGUGUCGUGAGAUGUUGGGUUAAGUCCCGCAACGAGCGCAACCCUUGUCCCUAGUUGCUAACAAGUAAAGUUGAGCACUCUAGGGAGACUGCCGUCGAUAGGACGGAGGAAGGUGGGGAUGACGUCAAGUCCUCAUGGUCCUUACGCCUAGGGCUACACACGUGCUACAAUGGCCGGUACAAAGGGUUGCAAAGCCGCGAGGUAGAGCCAAUCCCAAAAAACCGGUCUCAGUUCGGAUUGCAGGCUGCAACUCGCCUGCAUGAAGUCGGAAUCGCUAGUAAUCGCUGAUCAGCAGGCAGCGGUGAAUAUGUUCCCGGGCCUUGUACACACCGCCCGUCAAGCCACGAAAGCUGGUAGUACCCGAAGUCGCUGUCCUAACCGCAAGGAGGGGGGCGCCUAAGGUAAGACUGGUGAUUGGGGCUAAGUCGUAACAAGGUA